rnacentral:rRNA from 1 species
GACGAACGCUGGCGGCGUGCCUAAUACAUGCAAGUCGAACGAUGAAGGAGGAGCUUGCUUCUCUGGAUGAGUUGCGCACGGGUGAGUAACGCGUAGGUAACCUGCCCGGUGGCGGGGGAUAACUCUUGGAAACGAUAGCUAAUACCGCAUAAGAGUAUAUGUUGCAUGACAUUUGCUUAAAAGAUGCAAUUUCAUCACUACCAGAUGGAGCUGCGUGGUAUUAGUUAGUUGGUGAGGUAACGGCUCACCAAGGCGACGAUACAUAGCCGACCUGAGAGGGGGAUCGCCAAAAUGGGAACGGAGACACGGCCAAGACUCCUACGGGAGGCGGCAGAGGGGAAUCUCGGGCAAGGGGGGAAAGCUGGACGGGGCAAGCCGGGGGGAGGGAGAAAGGUGUCGGAUCGGAAAGAUCUGUUGUAAAGGGAAGACGAAAGGGGGAAUGAAAAGUUCACGCUGUGACGGUACCUAACCAGAAAGGGACGGCUAACUACGUG